CGGAGAGUAAUUUCAUGUUAGUGACAUCACUACUGUCAUGGAGUUGCUCUCUUAU
rnacentral:pre_miRNA from 1 species